GGUCGUCUUCACUCUUCUAUAUAAUUGAAAGAAAAAAAAAUUGUUGGUAAGGAUAUGAAGCGUUAAAAAAUUAUUUAAAGCAUGAAUGGAAAUUUCUAGAGAAACAUAGUUUGGCAGUUAUAUUUGAUAUUUUUGCCACGUGGAAAGAAUUUGGGGACAAGUACAAUUAUAACAAAAAUUAAAUUAAAAAAUAUUGUGUAAAUAACAAAUAUACCCUUAAAGAUCUUUCUAGAUCUAGUCCCAUUAGAUAUCCAUCUAUUCUGCUUCUUCAUCUUUCUUUUUCC
rnacentral:lncRNA from 1 species